rnacentral:rRNA from 1 species
GACGAACGCUGGCGGCGUGCCUAAUACAUGCGAGUUGAGCGCUGAAGGUUGGUACUUGUACCAACUUGAUGAGCAGCGAACGGGUGAGUAACGCGUGGGGAAUCUGCCUUUGAGCGGGGGACAACAUUUGGAAACGAAUGCUAAUACCGCAUAAAAACUUUAAACACAAGUUUUAAGUUUGAAAGAUGCAAUUGCAUCACUCAAAGAUGAUCCCGCGUUGUAUUAGCUAGUUGGUGAGGUAAAGGCUCACCAAGGCGAUGAUACAUAGCCGACCUGAGAGGGUGAUCGGCCACAUUGGGACUGAGACACGGCCCAAACUCCUACGGGAGGCAGCAGUAGGGAAUCUUCGGCAAUGGACGAAAGUCUGACCGAGCAACGCCGCGUGAGUGAAGAAGGUUUUCGGAUCGUAAAACUCUGUUGGUAGAGAAGAACGUUGGUGAGAGUGGAAAGCUCAUCAAGUGACGGUAACUACCCAGAAAGGGACGGCUAACUACGUG